rnacentral:lncRNA from 7 species
GUAUAAUAAACAGCAUCGCUGUCACGCAGGCAGGGCUGCCGGCUCCCAAAGCCGCCUCCCCGCGAUAACAAUCCAGUAUUAGAACUCUAAAGGAAACUCAUCCCAUGGACAUGCAGGGACACAGCUCUCUUUAUCUCUUGCAUAUCAGAUGCAGUGGAUAUGAGUUGCCAAGAUUUUAGAAUGUUUUUGCAUGAUGACCCAGAAGCCAAGCACUCAAAACGCUUGGAGUCACAUUUGAAGUCACAUUUCUCCUUCUACACUAAAAUGGCCACCAGAGUGCUUAGGUGACAUAAAAGUCAAUGCAGAUUGCUCACAGGGAAAAACAACACAAAGCUUUCCAAAAAUCAUGGUUCCAUAUUUCAAACUGAAGUAAGGCCAGCAGUCAGUCCAGCACAUCUAUGGCAUCACCAGCAGCUUCUGUAAAGAGAAGACCACUGGGCAAAUGCUACUGGAGCCUUCACAAGAAAGAAGCCACAUCAGUGCUGGGUUGGGAAAGCAGAUGAAAACAUCAAGCAUUCUGCUAUGAAAAAAAAAAAACCAACACCAAAACGCACACUCAAACCAACUGUAAUAUUCUGAACCAUUUCAAGCCAUACAGUUUGCAAUGACAAUUACGCUGGGUGCAUGCUGUUGGAUGCCCUAGGGCACUAGUACUUAAGACAAAAGGCAGCUACACGUGAAGCCUUGCACCAGGACGGAAUCAGGGGUCAUGCACCUGGAUCCAGAAUCUUGGAAUAUCCUGCUGCUUCUAUAAAGCAUACACCUGUCUCAAAUACCCAAUUCCCCUUGUUAUCCCCUUUAAUACACUAACCCUCUUCUGCUAAUAUGGCAGUGUAUAAUUAUUUCAGACAUGUAAAAAAAGAAUAAAUAAAGCACUGAAAUUCUACU